rnacentral:rRNA from 1 species
AUGAACGCUGGCGGCGUGCCUAAUACAUGCAAGUCGAGCGAACAGAUGAGGAGCUUGCUCCUCUGACGUUAGCGGCGGACGGGUGAGUAACACGUGGAUAACCUACCUAUAAGACUGGGAUAACUUCGGGAAACCGGAGCUAAUACCGGAUAAUAUAUUGAACCGCAUGGUUCAAUAGUGAAAGACGGUUUUGCUGUCACUUAUAGAUGGAUCCGCGCCGCAUUAGCUAGUUGGUAAGGUAACGGCUUACCAAGGCAACGAUGCGUAGCCGACCUGAGAGGGUGAUCGGCCACACUGGAACUGAGACACGGUCCAGACUCCUACGGGAGGCAGCAGUAGGGAAUCUUCCGCGAUGGGCGAAAGCCUGACGGAGCAACGCCGCGUGAGUGAUGAAGGUCGUCGGAUCGUAAAACUCUGUUAUUAGGGAAGAACAAAUGUGUAAGUAACUAUGCACGUCGUGACGGUACCUAAUCAGAAAGCCACGGCUAACUACG